AACGAACGCUGGCGGCAGGCUUAACACAUGCAAGUCGAACGCAUCCUUCGGGGUGAGUGGCAGACGGGUGAGUAACGCGUGGGAACGUGCCCUUCAGUUCGGGAUAACCCAGGGAAACUUGGGCUAAUACCGGAUACGUGCGAGAGCAGAAAGAUUUAUCGCGGAAGGAUCGGCCCGCGUCUGAUUAGCUAGUUGGUGGGGUAAUGGCCCACCAAGGCGACGAUCAGUAGCUGGUCUGAGAGGAUGAUCAGCCACAUUGGGACUGAGACACGGCCCAAACUCCUACGUGAGGCAGCAGUGGGGAAUAUUGGACAAUGGGCGCAAGCCUGAUCCAGCCAUGCCGCGUGAGUGAUGAAGGCCUUAGGGUUGUAAAGCUCUUUCGUCCGGGCCGAUAAUGACGGUACCGGAAGAAGAAGCCCCGGCUAACUUCGUGCCAGCCGCCGCCGUAAAAC
rnacentral:rRNA from 1 species